UCUGAAGUCUUGGGAUCGGAGGUCAGGGUGAGCGCGAGGAGAGGAAGCGAGAACGUCAGCAGCGGCGCGAGGACAGGAGGAGACGAGCGGGACGAGGGGUAUGAGCCGGGGUGUGGGCAGAUCCGCAGAGGAGGAGGAGGGGUGGGGUAACCGCCAGCCGUCAUCCUCGCGUCGAGCGACGGCGGGGGAACCUUCUCCAGGCCGACGGACGGGGUGGUGGUGGGUGGUCGUCCUCUGGGGGCGGUGGGGAGGUAGCGCAAGUAGCCUCCUCGCAGCAGUAGGUAAGUGUGUCGACGAGGCGGGCUUCCGCAGUGGUAGCUGCCCUUCUGAGCCACAGCAGCGACAGUACGAGCGCACGUGGGCAGUCCUCCUGACGCCGGGAAGAGAGAGCGACGACCGCCCACUGGCCGCGUAGGUCCAGGGUCUCACCGGGAGAGGCCGAGAGUUGAGCCCCUCGGCGACGAUACUCGCGGCCUACGGGAGCUCUACCAGCCUCAACAUCGCGGAGGUUAAGGCCGAGGUAGAGGUGGGAAUGUCUACCAAAUGCAGAAUUGACAGAUGUUGUUUUCCCUAUUCGUCGUGACGUAGGCCUAGGUACACGUGACACUUUAAGGUCUACCAUAGUCACACGGGUGUCUUGAGGUCUCACAACUACUAAUGGGUCUGUUGGUCAAGUGUAAGUCACAGUUCGUGAACCGAGGUUAUAGUGACUGUACGGAAUACGGAGGUAGUAUGGACUCGGUAGUAGGAGGUAUGAAGAAAGAGCCACAUGUCACCAACCUAUGACACUUCCAGAGUUGGGAAACAGUGUACGAACUUAGCUAAACCCGUGUAGUCAGACGUGUCCUUCAAAAAAACUCACCCACGUCCCGAAAUGCGAGAGAGUAGAACCAAAACUACCGCCCUAUUAGUACGAACUUCCAGAGUUGGGAAACAGUGUACGAACUUAGCUAAACCCGUGUAGUCAGACGUGUCCUUCAACAAAAACUCACCCACGUCCCGAAAUGCGAGAGAGUAAAACCAAAACUAUCACCCUAUUAGCAUGCGUACAGACUAUCAUGCUGCCGAGGACACCUACGAGCCCAACAACCUCUCUAAGACAGACAUCUCCUACAACAAGUUGCCAACUAGUUGAUGCUACUUCUCGUUACGGAACUUUGUAAUUAAGCCCCGGAGGUAUAGACGCGUUAAACAAAGUAUUCCCUCUUGUGAUGACUAUGUCAUAUAUAACCUGUGACUUAACGACGAGGUACCUCGGUCCCGUGGUACUAAAUACGUGUUUAGUUUGUAUUAAAACCAUGACAAAAAACUCUAAAAUCAAGACCCCAUAUUAUGGAUUAAUAAUCUUAAGUUUAUGAGAUGUAAGACCCUAUAACGGUACAUAUAGAUAAAGUCGCAUGGUAUGACGAACAUAUAUUUUAGUUGUAUAUCGUCGUCAGUUUGUUAGUAAUCUUUUUCAUUGAUGUCAAACCGAAAUCAUGUUUAUAUAGUGUAUAUACGCGGAAUCAAGGUACAUUACGAAACAACAAGAGAUUCCGUAGGAGGAUAGCAACUACCUUCAUGAUCGUAAAAAGACCGUCACCAUUACCGUCAUCGAAGUAAAUCAUACCAAACCAAAGAAUGUUGCCACUUGAAGUGUUUAGUCAAUUUUAACCACUAGUGAAGACCUUGUAUGUAUAUGUAGUGUCUGGUAAGUGUAAUAUCCAAGUAGAAAUUGGGAGAAUUUCUACUUUUACGGUAAAGGAAAACUAUUAUAGAAGUCUGUUGUAUUAUAGUAACAGAUAAAACGACUCUCUCUUUACUAGACUAACCUAACACCUUUAGUCACUAUUGUCCUCUAUCACUCUAUGAAAUCAACUAAUGAAACCUAGAAUUCUCAUGUGUCUGACUUUUAUUAUUCUACCAUUCUUUCUACGUCGUAACAGUCUAAUUAAACCAUCGAGACGUGGAAAUUAAAUGAGGAAAACGAAAGGUCCCCUACGAAUUACUUACCAAGACGUGUUCACUUUGGUCGACUCAGAUAGCAAACCUCUUUUUUGAUUGAACGACCCUUCUGACUCGACUUCAUCUUCCUGUGUAAGAGGAGGAGGACUCAACGUCUCAUUUAGAAGAGCAGACGGAAGAGAAAGAAUAGUAGUCUAAGUUUUAACGAAAAAACCAAUAGGUUCGGUAAGAGAAGUCGUUACGGCCGUGAAAGGUGUAAUAAAAGUCUUGUGAAGAUACCGUGAAGAUAUCGUAAUAGCUGAAAGUAACCUCGUAGUAGGUAAACGAGUAGUGGAAAUGUUCGUAGUUGACGGACGUGGGGCGAAGACGGAAGGAGACGUUGUCGGAGUGUCAACCAGAAGAGGACUGACAGUGGGCGUCAACGGAGUGUCAGUCAGAAGAGGUUUGACAGUGGGUGUCAUCGGAGUGUCAGUCGGAAGAGGUUUGACAGUGGGAGCGUUUGUAGGUGCCGCCGCCGAAGUGGGAGUCCGAGUCGUAGGUGUACGUCGAAGUACCACAGGCUGGACUCGUGGGAGAAGCGGUGCGGCGGUAAGAGCGCGGGUCCUUGUAGGAAGGAAAAGAAGGGACGUUCGCACCCGGGGAGCGGCAGUGGUUCCCUUCCAAAAAGGUGGAGGUUCCUCCUUCGGAACCCGCUUAGGUAGUAGUUCCGCAGAAGAUAAGGACCGUAGUCCAAAGCGAGGUUUGGCAAAUUCGGAGUAGGGUCUCGGGACGCAUUAUUCUGGUCUUUUUAGUAGUCUUAGUGUGAACGUGCUUCACAACUUCACUAUUGGUCGAUAGACGAGGUUGAGGAUCGGUCACAUUUUGGAUCGGGUUAUUAAUGCCAGGUAUUUAAGCCUCGUUACGCUAUGCUUCGUGUACUUUACCAAUUUUGGCCGAGAAAAGUCAUUUGGAUAUACCGUUAAGCCCUUUGAUCACUUUGUAGAAGUGUAGUAAGACCUUGCCUCCCUCAUUAUUUAUUUAUCAAAGUGUGGUAUAUGUCUCUUAAAAGGACGGUGUACUGUUAAAAAAGGUUUGAUUUAUAGGCCUGACUUUGUUAAGGUAGUAGGUAGAUACGCGGUUGAUAGAUAAGGUCCGUCCAAAUCGUAGUGUGUUGUACGGCAUCGAUUCUUACCUUGAUUUUUUUCAACGUCAUUUUAAAAGUCGUGGUGUUUGUUUUCGUGGGGUUAAAGGACUGGCUUAGAUGAUAUUCCGGUACAUAAAACGUCCGUCUAAAAUCCUACCGUGUUGUAUGACAUUUAUUCUAGACCUCACUUUAUUUGUAAGAAAAGUCACCUUGAAAUUUGUUGGGUUUCGGGAAGAUAUGUCUCGAUCGAAGUCAACGUCAUCGUUAUUUGUCAAACUGUCCGUAUCUGUCAUGUCAGAUGUUUCACACAAAGGGGUCGUUCUAUGGGAUAUGACUUUGUUCAAGAUAGUAAAUAGAUACCCGCUACGAUGCGCAGGCGGCUACCUAUUUCAAUUUUCUAAUCGACGGAGGGACUGGUAACCUACUUCGACGCCUACCGACACACUAGAUGGGUGCACUAGGCAGUAGAAACGUUGUGUACACAACGACGUCAUGAAAGACGUUGUCUCCAGAUCAACGGCUUUAAUAAGCGUUGUUUCCGGUCAACGUAAUUUUAAAAUUUGAUAAAAAAGGAGAAUUGGACAACGUUGUUCUCGGAAAAACGUUUUUGUACGACAACGUCUUCUGUUUUUAGUUAACGCCUAGGGUGAGGUGCGGCAGGUUGUCGUUGCAAUCUACAGUCGAUGCAGCCCUGUUGGCUCCCCGCCUCCGACGGUUCCGUUACGUCGCAGCUAGAGCGGCCUCGUGGUGUAUAGGCCGCCCUCCGUCGAGCCUGCUCCAGUGGCUCGCCAGCACCUCUCCGUUGGUUGCUGGCUCGUCUACCUCGUACUCUCGUCCAGCCCGGGCAGUUGCCUCCUCUCUUUCCUCCUCCUCUCUCCUCUCCCGGGUACUUCCUCCUCUCGUACCAGCAGGUGCGGCCGCACACCCCUAGGUCUAGAACGUUGUUCGAUCAACAACGCCCCCGUUUUUAACGUUGUUAUCAGGUCAACGUUUCGAUCUGGCACCUUUUUCCUAUGAAGGUUCGGUAGACUAAUUUCUUUGUAGGCUACUCGUAUUUCCGCUAUCUACGCGCGUCUUUCUAGCCAGCCCACUUGUCUUCUCAAAGGGAAAUUGAUAGAUAGGGUUCGUUUAAAAUCGUG
rnacentral:rRNA from 1 species